rnacentral:rRNA from 1 species
AUGGAGCAAAUUUCCGAAGGUUUAGAGGUGGAUGUUUCCGAUCAGAGAAAAGGAAACUCUGGAAGAAAGCCAAAGGACAUCAAUUUAGAGCAAAUCCCUACCAUCCCACUAAACAAGAGGUCCACUAUCAGAUCUCUAGCUUGGCAAUUGGGAUGUAGCCCUAUCACACUGCAUAGAAAGUUCAAGCUAAAUUUGAUAAAAAGGCACACAAACUAUGUGAAGCCAACUCUAAAGGAAAAGAAUAUGAAGGAUAGGAUGGAAUUUUGUAUGUCAAUGCUUGACGAGACAACGAUGGAAACUUCAAGGCCUAAAUUCAAGAUGAUGCAUAAUGUUGUGCACAUUGAUGAGAAGUGGUUCAAUAUGAUGAAGAAAAAUAAGACCUACUAUCUGCUAGAUGGGGAGGAGGAGCCUACGAGGCCUAUACUGUUGGAAAUAUGCCCUAGAGGCAAUAAUAAAAGGGUUAUUAUUAUAUUUCCUUGUUCAUAA